CCAUGGAUGAGAAAUGCUCAAUCAUCCACUCUGGGGGCAUCAGUCUUGUGCCCCAUCGAAGGAGCCCCUUGUGCGGCGGGGUCUUUCGGCGGCUGCGUCGCACACAAGCUCUGAGAAAUGUGUGUAGGCCAUUCGGUUAAUCGUCAUGAAUGCCGCGAGACUACGGUUUCACCUUGCGUUGUUUUAGAUUCUAGAAGAUGUCUGAUUUUGGUGUUUUCCGGUGUGGUACUGAGCCUCAUCUUGCUGUGGUUGCCAGUAGUGCUCUCUAAGUGCAUGUUCGUAAGUUCGGAGUUGCUGCAGGCUUUGUUCAUUGGCGCGGUCUAUUGUAGAAACGGUCUAGGUUAGAACUGUUGCAAUAAUCGGUGUCUCGUUGUUAUGCAGUGGAUUACAGCAAGGGGCAAAAACUGCACCUACAGUAGUAUGAUUUUUCCAUUGUAUGGAACAAUAGAUCAUGUUUCAAGUGUGCAACAUUUUAGAAAAUUCUCGGUGGAGGGUCACUUAUCGGUAGUCGAUUGGUAAUUCUACACAUAAUGACUUUUGGGUCUCAGAGGAACGUUUGGAGGGGGACUCUGGUCAGCGGGAGAUGAGAGGCGGCAUUCCUAGACAUCGAUGCUGCUGCGAAACCUGAUUCCUUCGUCAAUGAUUUCAGAGAGCUUUGUGUGCUCCUCUCAGGUGGAGGGAUCCCGUUGCAGAAGCCAAAACCGAACCCACUCCCAGAGCUUGUGACGGAGACGAUACCAGUGAAAGUGAAAUCUUCCUCAGCUGAGAACACGGUGUUGACAAACCAUCCCUCGCUGUCGUGGCCGAAACUGGCUCUGGAAAAUUAAGAAGGCGACCUCUGAGCAUUGAUUACAACCAUGGAGAUUUUUGAGACCAACGUCGUUUGAAUUUAACCUGCACGUUUCCGAAUCGGAGAACUUUGGCACCCCGGGGCCCAUCCUCCUACACAACGGGAAUAAAAAACUUAUGCUCCAGGGCUUUCGGUUACCAAGAAGUUUAAGAUAACAAUAGCGCAGAUAACAAAAGCGCAGAUUACAAUGCCUGACAAGACUUUCAUCAGUUUCUUGUGCAAUUCAUGGACCUAUCAAUCCAAGAAGGCUAUGUAGAAGGUGCAUACUCCCACAAACAUUCCCGCCGGUUUGAAGAAUUGAAGGUAGAACGAGUUGAAGGAGUUGCAGGGAACUGGAAAGGGGAGAGGUAAGAAUGAGACGGAGUCUAUGACCACGAUGUACCACUUGGGGAAG